UUGGUUCUGUCCCAUAGGAAACAGGGAAUAACAACUACCAUCUUUACCUGGCCGGGCUGCGAUGAGGAUUAAAGGUAGAUCAGCCCUAAAGGUAAAGUACCUACUAAGGGCUGACGUAAGAGACCAAAUGCUGUUCCUUUCUCCUCCCUUGGAAGUCCUGCCAGUUCUCAGAGGGUCCUGAGCCCUAGCAUCACCCCUAACCCCUGUCCCCUCCUACAAGCUGCUGCAAUCUGCAGCCAGUGGGAAAGCAUUCUGAUGAAACAGGUUGGCAGCAGGGGACACGGGUCCACUUAGGCCUCCACGAGGCACCAGCACGGGCAUUGUGAAAGAGCAGUUUCAUCAGUGGGCAGAAGCAGAAAAGCCGGCCUGUCCCACUGCCCUCCCUGCACCGGGACGCCCUCGACGAACUCCCUGCAACCUCUGAAAGGGGUUCGGUCCUCUGCCUCCCGAGGGAGCCCCCUUCCCUUCAGCUGUCACAGAGCAAAGCUUUCCUCUGCGCCGUGGGAGUGGGACUCUGGACCAAGAGGACUUGUCUGUGAAUCAAAACCAACCUGCAGGUGAUUCCUGGAUUUCGGAGGCGAGGACUUGAGGACCGCCAGGCAGACUUCCUUCGCCCUCCCGCUGGAAUCCAGGAAUCAGCGGGGUCGCAGCCCCGCCCUCCUGCCCGGGGUGCCCGGAGCACUAUUUUUAGGUAACUCAGCCAUCCGCAUUCCUCUUCGGAAAACGUGGCUCUUUAUUUCCCCAAAAGCUCUGUCAGAACUGCCUCCACUUCUCUUCCCCCACAAAAAUCCCGUCAUUCUCCCAGGGGUGUACCCUCUAGACCACCACAGCGCCCAGCUGUCCGCAGCAGCUCUCCUCUCCAGCGCUUUCUCCCACUCCCUGUUUCAUCGUCUUCUGUCUCCUUACUCUCUGCCUUUGGAAACUCCAGUUGCUUCCUAAGAAAUUGGCCAGAGGUGGGACAUUUUCAUGUAUGUGGACUUAAUCUAUAUCCUACCCUUGUACUUGGUCAGUGAUUCAGCGAGGCAGAGAAUUCUGGGUUGGAAAGGAUUCUCCUUUAGAGUGUCCGUGUUCUGCUCCACUGUCUUCUGCACCUAUUACCCUUCAGAAGUCUCAUGCCUUGUGAUUUCUCUUUGUAUGUAACUGUUCUCUUUCAGUAUUUUAGGAUUUUCUUUUUGUCCUUGGAAUUCUGGAAUUUCUAAACCCAUGUGACAUAUUGGUGACUUUUGUCAUUCAUUGUGCCAGGGCCCAGAUGGGUCUUUUCAACCUGGAGACUUGUGUCCUUCAGUGCCACGAAAUUUAAAACAAAGAAUUUCUUUCUUUUCUUUUUUUUUAUUUAUUUUAUCUAUUUAUGAUAGUCACACAGAGAGAGAGAGAGAGUCAGAGACACAGGCAGAGGGAGAAGCAGGCUCCACGCACUGGAAGCCCGACGUGGGAUUCGAUCCCGGGUCUCCAGGAUCGCGCCCUGGGCCAAAGGCAGGUGCUUAACCACUGCACCACCCAGGGAUCCCAAAACAAAGAAUUUCUUUAAUAAUUGCUUCUCUCUGUGUCCUCUCUGGAACUCCUAGGAGGUGGAUCCCGAGCCUCUAGGAUUGAUCUUCCAGGUCUCUUUUCUUUUUCCCUUGGUCUUAUCUUUCUGUUCUACUCUCUAGAUUAUUUCCUUGAAUUUAUGUCUUGAUUCUUCCAUUGAAUUUUUUAUUUCAGAUAUUUUAUUUUUAAAUUUACAUGAGUUCUUACUUGUUCUCUGCCUCUCUCCUCCCCCCACCCCAACACAGAUACAGCCUCUUUAUUUAUCUCUCGGACUUUAUUACUUAGUGUCUUCCCCCUCCUGUGCGCUCACUUAUCUCCGUCUCCUUCGGUUUCUCUGUUGGUUUGGCUAGUUUAUUGGUCUAACUUUGGCUCUGUGUCCCUCUUCACCAAUCAAGGG
rnacentral:lncRNA from 1 species